CAGCCGCCGCGGUAAUACAUAGGUCCCGAGCGUUAUCCGGAUUUACUGGGCGUAAAGAGUCUGUAGCCGGACAUGUAAGUCUAUUUUCAAAUACUAUGGCUCAACCAUAGAAAGGGAAUAGAUACUGCAUGACUGGAAGUUAUUGGGGGUUAGUGGAAUUUCAGGUGGAGCGGUGAAAUGCGUUGAUAUCUGAAAGAACGCCGAAAGCGAAAGCAGCUAACUACAAUAAACUUGACGGUAAGAGACGAAAGCUUGGGGAGCGAACGGGAUUAGAUACCCCGGUAGUCCAAGCUGUAAAUUAUGCAUGCUAGAUGUUUUGGACCCUUGUGGUCUGGAGUGUCGUAAUCUAACGAGUUAAGCAUGCCGCCUGGGUAGUAUAUUCGCAAGAAUGAAACUCAAAGGGAUAGGCGGGGGAACACACAAGCAGUGGAUUAUCUAGAUUAAUUGGAUAAUAAGCCAAGAAUCUUACCUAAAUUUGACAUGUACUAUGUCCUAUGUGAAAGCAUAGUAGUCCGAGCAAUCGGACGUGGUACACAGGAGGUGCAUGGCC
rnacentral:rRNA from 1 species